rnacentral:lncRNA from 1 species
UUUUUUUUUAAUGUUAAGAAAAAUAUUUUCAAUCAGACACUAAUAUAUAAAAAAAUAUUUUGCAUUAUAAUAAUAUGUUUAUUAAAACAAUAAUAUUUAUUGAUAAUAGUUGCAGAAGUAACACCACUUUCUUAAGAAAAUUCAUGUUACAAGCUAUUACUCCACUUGUUCUUAGAUUGAUAAUUUUAAGUGCAAGUAGGAUGAAUGAUUAAUUGAUUUAAAGCUAAUCUUGACGUAUAAAACAUAGUUAAUGAAGAGCAAACAAGUUGCCAUGUGAACGCUACUUUGCUUUUGCAAGCUAAAUACUGAAUCCUGUAAUAGCCCCAGAAUCUUAACCUGAAACCCCCAACGGCGUAUCUUUCUCUGUUGUUAGGUGCUAUGGUGGUGAUACUUUCCUUUUUAACACCAUCAAUCUCUUUUCUUUUGACAUCAAGAAAGAAAUAAACAAGUACAUCCGAAUCUGCUAGAGCAUGGCCUGUAAUUGGUCACCUUCCCUCCUAGCAGUGUCAUUUCCACUUCACAUAAUCUUGAGGAAUUUGGCUGACAAUUUAUGGGCCAUAUUCACCAUGAAAUUUGGCAUGCAUCCCACAUUGGUUGUAAGCAAUCUCGCUAACGAGUGCCUUACUACUAAUGACAGUUUGUGCCAGUCGUCCUAAAUCUCUUGCCAUGGAAAUCCUAGGCUAUAUCUUUUCUAUGUUUAGCUUC